GAAAUGAAUAAAACAGGUGCUCAACCCAAGCAAAGACGUCCAACUGGGACACUUCAGAAUGGAAAAGCUGCCGCAGAUUUAGUUCCCCA